rnacentral:rRNA from 1 species
UACGAAGGGGGCUAGCGUUGCUCGGAAUCACUGGGCGUAAAGCGCACGUAGGCGGAUUGCUAAGUCAGGGGUGAAAUCCUGGAGCUCAACUCCAGAACUGCCUUUGAUACUGGCGAGCUUGAGUUCGGGAGAGGUGAGUGGAACUGCGAGUGUAGAGGUGAAAUUCGUAGAUAUUCGCAAGAACACCCGUGGCGAAGGCGGCUCACUGGCCCGAUACUGACGCUGAGGCACGAAAGCGUGGGGAGCAAACAGG